rnacentral:rRNA from 1 species
UGCUUCUCUUGAGAGCGGCGGACGGGUGAGUAAUGCCUAGGAAUCUGCCUGGUAGUGGGGGAUAACGUUCGGAAACGGACGCUAAUACCGCAUACGUCCUACGGGAGAAAGCAGGGGACCUUCGGGCCUUGCGCUAUCAGAUGAGCCUAGGUCGGAUUAGCUAGUUGGUGGGGUAAUGGCUCACCAAGGCUACGAUCCGUAACUGGUCUGAGAGGAUGAUCAGUCACACUGGAACUGAGACACGGUCCAGACUCCUACGGGAGGCAGCAGUGGGGAAUAUUGGACAAUGGGCGAAAGCCUGAUCCAGCCAUGCCGCGUGUGUGAAGAAGGUCUUCGGAUUGUAAAGCACUUUAAGUUGGGAGGAAGGGUUGUAGAUUAAUACUCUGCAAUUUUGACGUUACCGACAGAAUAAGCACCGGCUAACUCUGUGCCAGCAGCCGCGGUAAUACAGAGGGUGCAAGCGUUAAUCGGAAUUACUGGGCGUAAAGCGCGCGUAGGUGGUUUGUUAAGUUGGAUGUGAAAUCCCCGGGCUCAACCUGGGAACUGCAUUCAAAACUGACUGACUAGAGUAUGGUAGA